rnacentral:miRNA from 1 species
GGGGAGGAGAGAGGGACAGAGAGCCUGCUUGCUUUAAAGGAACCAACCGGCUCCUCUCCUCUCCCGCUUUGCUCCUUUAAAGAAGCAGGCUCUCUGUCCCUCUCUCCUCCCC